rnacentral:rRNA from 1 species
GACGAACGCUGUUUGCGUGCUUAACACAUGCAAGUCGAACGGAAAGGCCCUGCUUUUGUGGGGUGCUCGAGUGGCGAACGGGUGAGUAACACGUGAGUAACCUGCCCUUGACUUUGGGAUAACUUCAGGAAACUGGGGCUAAUACCGGAUAGGAGCUCCUGCUGCAUGGUGGGGGUUGGAAAGUUUCGGCGGUUGGGGAUGGACUCGCGGCUUAUCAGCUUGUUGGUGGGGUAGUGGCUUACCAAGGCUUUGACGGGUAGCCGGCCUGAGAGGGUGACCGGCCACAUUGGGACUGAGAUACGGCCCAGACUCCUACGGGAGGCAGCAGUGGGGAAUAUUGCACAAUGGGCGGAAGCCUGAUGCAGCAACGCCGCGUGCGGGAUGACGGCCUUCGGGUUGUAAACCGCUUUCGCCUGUGACGAAGCGUGAGUGACGGUAAUGGGUAAAGAAGCACCGGCUAACUACGUGCCAGCAGCCGCGGUGAUACGUAGGGUGCGAGCGUUGUCCGGAUUUAUUGGGCGUAAAGGGCUCGUAGGUGGUUGAUCGCGUCGGAAGUGUAAUCUUGGGGCUUAACCCUGAGCGUGCUUUCGAUACGGGUUGACUUGAGGAAGGUAGGGGAGAAUGGAAUUCCUGGUGGAGCGGUGGAAUGCGCAGAUAUCAGGAGGAACACCAGUGGCGAAGGCGGUUCUCUGGGCCUUUCCUGACGCUGAGGAGCGAAAGCGUGGGGAGCGAACAGGCUUAGAUACCCUGGUAGUCCACGCUGUAAACGGUGGGUACUAGGUGUGGGGUCCAUUCCACGGGUUCCGUGCCGUAGCUAACGCUUUAAGUACCCCGCCUGGGGAGUACGGCCGCAAGGCUAAAACUCAAAGGAAUUGACGGGGCCCCGCACAAGCGGCGGAGCAUGCGGAUUAAUUCGAUGCAACGCGUAGAACCUUACCUGGGUUUGACAUGGAUCGGGAGUGCUCAGAGAUGGGUGUGCCUCUUUUGGGGUCGGUUCACAGGUGGUGCAUGGCUGUCGUCAGCUCGUGUCGUGAGAUGUUGGGUUAAGUCCCGCAACGAGCGCAACCCUUGUUCACUGGUGCCAGCACGUUAUGGUGGGGACUCAGUGGAGACCGCCGGGGUCAACUCGGAGGAAGGUGGGGAUGACGUCAAGUCAUCAUGCCCCUUAUGUCCAGGGCUUCACGCAUGCUACAAUGGCUGGUACAGAGAGUGGCGAGCCUGUGAGGGUGAGCGAAUCUCGGAAAGCCGGUCUCAGUUCGGAUUGGGGUCUGCAACUCGACCUCAUGAAGUCGGAGUCGCUAGUAAUCGCAGAUCAGCAACGCUGCGGUGAAUACGUUCCCGGGGCU